rnacentral:rRNA from 1 species
GACGAACGCUGGCGGCGUGCCUAAUACAUGCAAGUAGAACGCAGUUGCUAACGGGUUUUUAACUCGUUUCUAACUGCCUGGUAGCGGGGGUUAACUAUUGGUAACGAUAUCUAAUACCUCAUACUACCAGAUUCACCUGCUUUGUAUUAGGUAGUUGGUGGGGUAACGGCGCACCAAGGCAACGAUACAUAGCCGACCUGAGAGGGUGAUCGGCAAAACUGGGACGGUGAAACGGCCCAGACUCCUACGGGAGGCAGCAGUAGGGAAUCUUCGGCAAUGGACGGAAGUCUGACCGAGCAACGCCGCGUGAGUGAAGAAGGUUUUCGGAUCGUAAAGCUCUGUUGUAAGAGAAGCGGUAACUAAAGAGAAAGGGACGGCUAACUACGUGCCAGCCGCCGCGGUAAUAG